rnacentral:rRNA from 1 species
AGAGUUGAUCAUGGCUCAGGAUGAACGUGGGCGGCGUGCCUAAUACAUGCAAGUCGAACGAAGAUUGUAGUAAUACUGUCUUAGUGGCGAACGGGUGAGUAACGCGUGGGUGACCUGCCCCGAAGUGUGGGAUAACAGCUCGAAAGGACUGCUAAUACCGCAUAAUAUCCAAGAGAUUAGAUGCUUUUGGAUUAAAGGAGUAAUUCGCUUCGGGAGGGGCCCGCGUCCCAUCAGCUAGUUGGUAAGGUAAUGGCUUACCAAGGCGAUGACGGGUAGGGGACCUGAGAGGGUGGCCCCCCACAAUGGAACUGAAACACGGUCCAUACACCUACGGGUGGCAGCAGUAGGGAAUAUUAGUAAUGGGCGAAAGCCUGAACUAGCAACGCCGCGUGUGCGAAGAAGGCCUUCGGGUUGUAAAGCACUUUUUGAGAGGAUGAGGAAGGACGGUACUCUCAGAAUAAGUCUCGGCUAACUACGUGCCAGCAGCCGCGGUAACACGUAGGAGGCAAACGUUAUCCGGAUUUACUGGGCGUAAAGCGCGUGUAGGUGGUUUGGUAAGUAGGGCGUGAAAGCUCCCGGCUCAACUGGGAGAGGACGUUCUAAACUACCAAGCUUGAGGAUGGUAGAGGGAGGUGGAAUUCCGGGUGUAGCGGUGGAAUGCGCAGAUAUCCGGAGGAACACCAGUGGCGAAGGCGGCCUCCUGGACCAUUCCUGACACUCAGACGCGAAAGCUAGGGUAGCAAACGGGAUUAGAGACCCCGGUAGUCCUAGCCCUAAACGAUGUAGACUUGGCGUCGGUGGUUUAAACGCCAUCGGUGUCGGAGCUAACGCGUUAAGUCUACCGCCUGGGGACUACGGCCGCAAGGUUAAAACUCAAAUGAAUUGACGG